rnacentral:tRNA from 1 species
GCCUAACUGUACAGUUGGUAGAGCAUGGUGUUUGCAACACCAGGGUUGUGGGUUCGAUUCCCACGGGGGGCC